AUCAAAUACAAACCGUAACCAUACUGAGAAUACUUUCUUAUGAACUUCGUUGCAAAUAUCCGGGAUGAAUGAUGAAAUCAAAUUCGUUAGAAAUAAUUAUUUUGUUCGAGGUAUUGUCGCCUGACAAUGCUAUCGCACAUGCAAUCAAGUCUUCUAUCACAUGCUGAAAAUUCAUAAAUGCUGGACGAUGCAAAAUUCAUAAUUCUCUUUGAUAUUUUCUAGAAGGGGAUGAGACCAACGAGACGGCUCAGAUAUCCCGGAUGUACACCACCGUCACAAUCAAUCGCCAUUGGUAUGCCGAUUUGCAUGAGGAUACCAAUUACGUCAACGAAAAGAUACCGUUCUUAUUUUCGACGCAUAUUUGCGUGGGGCUUCUUAUCGUCACCAUCCUAGUUUUUUAUUUAUGAUCACUCACUGUCGUAACAUGUGAGCCGUAGUUUUCCACCGUAUCGUUCCGCGAUGGUUCAUUCAGUGGCAAAAGUUUAUUCGAACAGGUGGUGCGAUCACCUCCGUUCGAAAUUACGCUGUUUCGCUUCACGCUGUUACCAGAUGAUCGAAUCAUGGAACGGUUGACAAUCAGCGUUGUUGUUGAUCCUACAAAUAAUCCAUAGAAAUUUCUCUUCAAUUCCGACCAGAUGCAAACGGUUCAUCUAUCGCGUAUGAUCGGGCAAUAUAAUUCAACAUUCCUUUUUCAUGCAAUUUUACGGGCGUGAGUGUGACAUCGAUGUUUCAUUAUUUUCCCCUUGUAUUCAGUUAGAGGAGGAGGUUUACAUCUGACUCAAGAUGUGAUCAUUCGCAAUCAUACAUUGACUCGUUGGUAAUCCGCAAUUAACAGCGGCAAUGAUGUAUCCGCGUCGUCAUAAACAGGAGUUCCAAGAUUUCCUGGCUUACAUUAUCUGGUUGGUAAUUAAAGAGUACCGAAGUGUCCCAAUUGUGUCCAGCUGAUUUAUGUUGGAGGGUGAACCACGUACUGCCCUCGUGUGCAGAUUGGUUUUCGGUGCCAAAAAUUACCAUCUUCGUCAACUGUUCCGAACUUGAAAAUAUUUCGACGAAUUUGUUUUUCGACGGACAAUCCAAUGCUUUCAUUCUCCAGAUGAUUCCAACGGUGAUUCGAGUCGCAGAAACUCACAAGUGAACCUUCGACUUCGCUCAUGACGCCGAAGAGCCAAAGUGAGUAGAAAUCGUUCGAGAGUGAAAUCGAAAGUGAUUUUACUAUGGGUAAAACGACCGAGAGCGAAAGUGAGCCUGAUCCUGACCUCAGACGUUGAGGACGCGAUCAACCUCCAAGGAGAGAUCUGCCUGGAAAAGAAGGACAGUGAGGAGAGCCAGAUAGAAAUCGAAGUUGGGUCAGGUCAGUUUUCUGAGAGGGAAAGUGAAAUCGGAACGACGCGGGAAUAAGGCCCAGAAAUUGAGGGCGUCAAAGUGGGGAACUGGAACUCGGACCCAUGGCGUUUCACUUUCAUUUUCCAUCGUACAAAACGCCAGCAAGUAGAGCCUCUGUACUUCAAGUCGUGUAUGUACUUUAAGAAGACUCUGCCAGAUCCCAUCUGCUAUGAAAAAAAAAUAAUCCCUGAAAAA